UACGCAGGGUGCAAACGCUGCUCGGAAUUAUUGGGCGUAAAGCGCUCGUAGGCGGCUUUUCAAGUCCCAUGUGAAAUCCCACGGCUUAACCGUGGAAGUGCAUGGGAAACUGGAAAGCUUGAGUACUUAAGAGGAUCGCGGAAUUCCCGGUGUAGAGGUGAAAUUCGUAGAUAUCGGGAGGAACACCAGUGGCGAAGGCGGCGAUCUGGGAAGAUACUGACGCUGAGGUGCGAAAGCGUGGGGAGCAAACAGG
rnacentral:rRNA from 1 species